rnacentral:lncRNA from 1 species
CUUGUCGUAUUUCAUCCUCGGUUAGUAGCCUGAUUAACCGCUGAUUCAUUUGGAGGCGAUGGAUGGUGUAAUCUCGUCCAAAAAACCUUCGAAUUAUGAAAGAGAAGUUGUCUGAAACAAAUCAUCAAAUCAAUCCAAUGCAACCUUUUCUACACCUUGUUCCUCAAUUAUCAUGUUUCCAUCAGUAUCAGAGUUCCACGAUCCUAUUACGAGCAUGACAUUAUUUUUGUAGGGCAUUGAUAGAAUGUAGUAUUAAGAUCCCUUGAUGUAUACCACAUAUUACUACUUUUCUGUUGCCAAAAAUCUUCAUCGUCUUUAUAUGUUUCUUGUAACUUUUUAGAUACUUCCCGUAUGUUUUGUUGAGUUCUACUAUUAUCAGUUUGUACUUCUUCCGGUGCUUUUUGAAGCUCACUAGUUCUCUCUUUUCCAUAUAGUGGAUCAUUCUUUCACCAUGUAGCGAUAUCAUGGCGACAAUUAAUAAUUUUUGAUAUAAAAUCUCCCGAGUUCUCUGAUGCCGAUUCACUCCAACCUCUCCCAGUUGAUCCAACAAACCAUCAUGUCCAAUCCAUCU